ACCCCUGGCUCAUUUGGUAGAGCAUGAGACUCUUAGGGUUGUGAGUUCGAGCCUCAUGUUGGGCA